GGAUUCCCCUAGUAACGGCGAGUGAAGCGGGAAGAGCUCAAAUUUGAAAUCUGGUGGUCUUUGAUCAUCCGAGUUGUAAUCUAUAGAAGUGUUUUCCGUGCUGGCUCAUGUUAAAGUGCCUUGGAACAGGCCAUCAUAGAGGGUGAGAAUCCCGUGCUUGACAUGAAUUACCAGUGCUCUGUGAUACACUUUCAACGAGUCGAGUUGUUUGGGAAUGCAGCUCAAAAUGGGUGGUAAAUUCCAUCUAAAGCUAAAUAUUGGCAAGAGACCGAUAGCGAACAAGUACCGUGAGGGAAAGAUGAAAAGCACUUUGGAAAGAGAGUUAAACAGUAUGUGAAAUUGUUGAAAGGGAAACGAUUGAAGUCAGUCGUGUUCUUUGGACUCAACCGGUUCUGCCGGCGUACUUCCAUUGAACGGGGUCAACGUCAGUUUUGUCCGCCGGAAAAGGGCGGGGGGAAGGUAGCACUCUCGGGUGAACUUAUAGCCUCCUGUCGCAUACGGCGGACGAGACUGAGGAACGCAGCUUGCCUUUAUGGCCGGGGUUCGCCCACGUACAAGCUUAGGAUGUUGACAUAAUGGCUUUA
rnacentral:sRNA from 1 species